CUUUGACUCGUCAAAUUUAGUUUCAUUUACAGAGAGAAGUAUUAUAACAUCGUGAUAUAUCCUUUGCUGGCCGGAAACGAAAAUUAGUGGAAAAUGGAGUCGUCGAAAGAAGUACAGAAAUCAUCCGAUGCAGGAGACGUCUCUGGAACUAAAACUAGUGAAUCGUCAAUCAAAGGCAAUCUUUCAGCCACUAUCAGAGACGGUAUCUCUGCAAACGUAGAAAUCAAAUCGAAACAGGAAUUAACAUUCUCAUCAAAAAAAUAAAGAUCAAAAGUGGAAACAACACACCCAUGACCAUCUCUACAUAUUAUGUAAUGAGGACUAUUCUUCAACGUGUCCUUUAAAAAGAUGGCAUGGGUUGUCUUUUAGUCAAACUUGCCACAAUAUUUUAAAACCAGGAUAAGUCUGGUGAUUUCAAAUAACGAUGAUUAAUAUCCAAUGAUUAAAAAUAUAUGUAAUUUGUAGCUAAUGUAUUACGUAUGCAUAUAAUAGGCAUCUUAAAUAUAUUCUGAGUUAUAGAAGUGAUUAUCUCUCUUACAAUAAUCAACUGAACCGAGGUUGCACGUUUUCAGUUAUAUAAUGAUUCAAUAAGCAUGGAGCAAUAAAGAAGUCAAUAUCCGUAAAA